GCUGAAGAGAAACAGAGAGAGAAGAAGAAAGAUGCAGGAAUUAUUAUUUAAAACAGUGUAUAUGCAAAGCACGGAACGAGAAAAUAUAAAACCAUGCAGAAAAGAUUGUGACGUCAAACAAUAACUGUAUAUCCACAGGGAAAAACAAACAUAAACUUUUGACUUUUUAUUAAGCUAUUUUCUCUAGUCUCAAUAAUUGAUGAUUAUAUCCUAAUACCUUGAUUUACCUCUAAUAUAUUUCAUAAUAUAAAACUGCUGAAGCACCAAUACAAUUAUUUAAAUUAGCGUUCACUACUGUUUAAAAGUGAGUGUGCGUCGGUUACAGAGUGUAGGGGGGACGCUAUCAUUUUAUCCACACAGGUGAACACAAGAAAAGACAGACAUUUGUAUUAACAUAAACGUGUUCAAAGUUAAGUGCAUGCAGUAGGGAGGGGGGAAAAAAAGCACAUCAGCAUAACAAACAUCAGGAUCAGGAAAACACUGAAGGGUUCUGGCUCCACAAAGACUUUUGAAUUCUCAUGUGAGGAACCGAGGACCCAAAGAGGCUGAUUCCCCCCCUGUGAACGCAGAGGUUCCAGGAGCUACUCAGUGCAGAGCCAUGGAUUACUGCGAAGAAAAGUGACACCACAGACAGUAGUAAGACCAAGAGAGACACCAAGGAGACUGGGGAGGAGGGAGGAAGGAAGAGGUUUUAGUUCAUUAUAUUUAGCCUUUAUGGAAUUUAAGCAAGUUCUAGUCCUUCUUUAACAUCUCUCUCUCCAACUUUGUUUUUGUUACAUUUUAUAACAGGAUCAAUAAAAAAAACCUUCAGAAGCACAUUACCUUCUAACACCUCAACAGAGCUUAAAUUAAUUUUGGGCACAUCAGUAGCAUUUUGUUAGAAAUUGGCCUUUAUUAUUUUAUUUUAUAUGCAGCAAAAUCAGAAGAAAAAA